ACCUGUCUAGCUCAGUCGGUAGAGCACAAGGCUCUUAACCUUAUGGUCGUGGGUUUGAGCCCCAUGAUGAGUG
rnacentral:tRNA from 1 species